rnacentral:RNase_P_RNA from 1 species
UGAGUCGACAAGGUGGCCGCGGUACGGUUUAUCUGUACUGAGGAAGGUCGGGGCUCCAUAGGACAGAAUGCUGGCUAACAGCCAGUCGGGGCAACCCGAAGGAAAGUGCCACAGAGAAUAGACCGCCGAUGGUUACCUCUUUUAGAGAUAACACAGGUAAGGGUGAAACGGUGCGGUAAGAGCGCACCAGCGGUUAAGGAGACUUAAUCGGCUAGGUAAACCCCAUUCGGAGCAAGGCCAAAUAAUGGAGAGGGCGGUCCGUCCGUAGACACUCCAAGGUGGGCUGCAUAGAUGGAUGGUCACCCAUUCGGAUUUCCGCGAGGAGCCGAGGGACAGAACCCCGCCUACUGUCGACUCACCAU